rnacentral:misc_RNA from 1 species
GUACCAAUGUGUCAGGAAGCACGUCAGAUAAUAAGGAAUAUCAAGCAGAAAUUAAGUAACUUCCUUUUCAAAAAAGGAGUAGGAUAUGAUAAGCUGUAUUGACUGAGUGGCUUGGGAAUACCUAGGCUUUUGUCAGGAUAGAUAAGAGACCCACUCCAUUCUCUAAUGCUGGUAAAUGGAAUAUGGAUGCUCGGCAUUGGGGUAGAAUUCUAUGCAGCUGGUUACCUAUAAGAUAGGUAGAAAUUAGUAUAAGAACCUGGUUAGCGGUAUAAAGAAAAUGGGAAGUUCACAGUAUUGUAGAAAUAAGUAGUGCAGGUGCUUUAAUACAGAGAAAGUCUUAUUAAAGUUUCA